CUCCAGGGAUGACCUUUACUUUUGUGCCACGUGUCUGGGCCACUGAUUAUUUUAUGAUGGGAUUGAGGAACUGAGGAG
rnacentral:snoRNA from 1 species